rnacentral:rRNA from 1 species
AUUGAACGCUGGCGGCAGGCCUAACACAUGCAAGUCGAACGAGUGGCGGACGGGUGAGUAAUGUCUGGGAAACUGCCUGAUGGAGGGGGCUAACUACUGGAAACGGUAGCUAAUACCGCAUACCAUCAGAUGUGCCCAGAUGGGAUUAGCUUGUUUGUGGGGUAACGGCUCACGAAGGCGACGAUCCCUAGCUGGUCUGAGAGGCUGACCAGCCAACCGGGAACUGCGACACUGGCCAGACUCAUACGGGAUGCAGCAGUGGGGAAUAUUGCACAAUGGGCGAAAGCCUGAUGCAGCCACACCACGGGUAUGAAGAAGGCCUUCGGGUGGUAAAGUACUUUCAGCGGGGAGGCGUGACCCGCAGAAGAAGCACCGGCUAACUCCGUGCCAGCAGCCGCGGUAAUUC